rnacentral:rRNA from 1 species
AACGAACGCUGGCGGCAUGCCUAACACAUGCAAGUCGAACGAGACCUUCGGGUCUAGUGGCGCACGGGUGCGUCACGCGUGGGAACAUGCCCUUAGGUUCGGAAUAACUCUCCGAAAGGGGUGCUAAUACCGGAUCAUGUCUUCGGACCAAAGAUUUAUUGCCUUUGGAUGGGCACGCGUUGGAUUAGCUAGUUGGUAGGGUAAAAGCCUACCAAGGCGUCGAUCCAUAGCUGGUCUGAGAGAAUGGUCAGCCACACUGGGACUGAGACACGGCCCAGACUCCUACGGGAGGCAGCAGUGGGGAAUAGUGGACCAUGGGCGAAGGGAUGAUGCAGCAAUGCCGCGUGAGUGAUGAAGGCCUGAGGGUUGUAAAGCUCUUUUAACCGGGAUGAUAAUGACAGUACCGGGAGAAUAAGCUCCGGCUAACUCCGUG